rnacentral:rRNA from 1 species
UGAAUACGAGAUGCUACGGCGUCGAAGCAGUCUAUGUCAUACUUCCAAGAAAAGCUUGCACUGUCAUAAACAAAUAAUGCCUGUACCAUAACCGACACAGGUGGGUAGGUAGAGUAUACUAAGGGGCGCGAGAUAACUCUCUCUAAGGAACUCGGCAAAAUGACUCCGUAACUUCGGGAGAAGGAGUGCCUUAUUUAUAAGGUUGCAAUAACAAGAUCCAAGCAACUGUUUACCAAAAACACAGGUCUCCGCUAAGUCGUAAGACGAUGUAUGGGGGCUGACGCCUGCCCAGUGCCAGAAGGUUAAAGAAGUUGGUUAGCAUCCGCGAAGCUGAUAACUGAAGCCCUGGUGAACGGCGGCCGUAACGAUAACGGUCCUAAGGUAGCGAAAUUCCUUGUCGGGUAAGUUCCGACCCGCACGAAAGGCGUAAUGAUUUGGAUACUGUCUCGGAGAGGGGCUCGGUGAAAUAGACUUGUCUGUGAAGAUGCGGACUACCUGCACCAGGACAGAAAGACCCUAUGAAGCUUUACUGUAACCUGAAAUUGAAAUUGGACUUUACUUGCGCAGUAUAGGUGGGAGGCGUUGAGAAUAUUCUUGCGGGAUUAUUGGAGCCAUCAGUGAGAUACCACUCUUGUAAUGUUAGAUUUCUAACUUUGUAUCAUUAUCUGGUCAAAGAACAGUUUCAGGCGGGCAGUUUGACUGGGGCGGUCGCCUCCUAAACGGUAACGGAGGCGCACAAAGGUUUCCUCUGAACGGGUAGAAAUCGUAUCUAGAGUGUAAAGGCAUAAGGAAGCUUGACUGUGAGACCUACAAGUCGAGCAGGGACGAAAGUCGGUCUUAGUGAUCUGACGGUGCUGAGUGGAAAGGCCGUCACUCAACGGAUAAAAGUUACUCUAAGGAUAACAGGCUGAUCUCCCCCAAGAGUUCACAUCGACGGGGAGGUUUGGCACCUCGAUGUCGGCUCAUCGCAUCCUGGGGCGGUAGUACGUCCCAAGGGUUGGGCUGUUCGCCCAUGAAAGCGGUACGCGAGCUGGGUUCAGAACGUCGUGAGACAGUUCGGUCCAUAUCCGGUGUAGGCGUUAGAAUAUUGAGAGGAGCCUUCUUUAGUACGAGAGGACCGAGAAGGACAUACCUCUGGUGUACCAGUUAUCGUGCCAACGGUAAACGCUGGGUAGCUAUGUGUGGAGUGGAUAACCGCUGAAAGCAUCUAAGUGGGAAGCCCACCUCAAGAUAAGUAUUCUCAUC